rnacentral:rRNA from 1 species
UACGUAGGGUGCAAGCGUUAUCCGGAAUUAUUGGGCGUAAAGAGCUCGUAGGCGGUUUGUCGCGUCUGCUGUGAAAACUGGAGGCUCAACCUCCAGCCUGCAGUGGGUACGGGCAAACUAGAGUGCGGGUAGGGGAGAUUGGAAUUCCUGGUGUAGCGGUGGAAUGCGCAGAUAUCAGGAGGAACACCGAUGGCGAAGGCAGAUCUCUGGGCCGUAACUGACGCUGAGGAGCGAAAGCAUGGGGAGCGAACAGG